GUGUCAGCAGCCGCGGUAAUACGGAGGGUGCAAGCGUUGUUCGGAAUCAUUGGGCGUAAAGCGCGUGUAGGCGGCUUGGCAAGUCAGUUGUGAAAGCCCGGGGCCCAACCCCGGAACUGCAUCUGAAACUGCUUGGCUCGAGUCCCGGAGAGGAAGGCAGAAUUCCCGGUGUAGGGGUGAAAUCCGUAGAUAUCGGGAGGAAUACCAGCGGCGAAGGCGGCCUUCUGGACGGUGACUGACGCUGAGACGCGAAAGCGUGGGGAGCAAACAGGAUUAGAUACCCCUGUAGUCC
rnacentral:rRNA from 1 species